rnacentral:lncRNA from 1 species
AAGUACACCUAAAACGCUCCAAAGUUCCAAGCUUGAAACGCCAAGGACCUUUGUUUUCACCACCUUGUUGCAACACAAGUGUCUAGGAUGUGUAUGGAUAUAUGGAAGGGUUAGGAAUGUAUUUAGGAUUGGUGAAUGUCUCGGCCAAGGGAAGGAAAAUAUAUGGAAUUGUGUUUGAUUUUUGGUUGGAUGAGUGCCACGGCAAGGAAUGAAAGUGUAAGUGUAUGGAAUUGUGAGAUGUGAAAUGUAGUGUCUUUGGAUCAUGGCCCCCAAAUUAUGGUGAAUGGUGGAUGUAUUUAUAGGCUAGGGAGAGGAGUGUAUGGAGUUGUAAUGAGUGGAUGUAAUGGGUGUAGUGGGUGAGUGUUGUGGUAAUGAGUGGAUGUAAUGGGUGUAGUGGAUGAAUGUUGUGGUAAAGAGUGGAUGUAAUGGGUGUAGUGGGUGGAUGUUUGGUAAUGAGUGGAUGUAAUGGGUGUAGUAGAUGAGUGUUUGGUAAUGAGUGGAUGUAAUGGGUGUAGUGGAUGGAUGUUUGGAGUUGUAGGUCAACACACAUGCACACACACAUGCUGAUUUCUAGCCUUCAAAUCUUCAAAAACGUCUAUCCUCAUGUCUCCAUGCUUGCACUAUCCAAUCUUGGCUCAAAAAAUGCUCUAAAAUGCUCCAAAAUGCACUUUCUUGCCAACUUUGUUAUUAUGACCUACAAACACACGGAAAUAGCUUAAAAUACAUAAUUAACUAAGAAAUAACAACACAAAUGCAUAAGAACAAGCUAACUAAGUCGCAUAAAUAUGCUCCUAUCAAAUUCCCCCACACUUAGCUUUUGCUAGUCCUCAAGCAAAACAAAAGAAACAAAAUGAAACAAAACAAACAAAACAAACAAAACACAACCUAAUCUUCCAACAUUUGCCUCAGGGAUUUUCAAUGAAACAUGACAUGCCAAAGAUCACCACUUACAUAGAUUUAAGCAUUCCUUACCCUCAAGCAUACUUAAUCAUAGUCACCAUUCACUAGCUCACAUUUAAUCAAUUAAAACAACAUUUUGAAUAUAGUAACAUGCCUUAGAGAAUUUCCUCAAUUCUUUACUAGAUACACUCUUAUUUUCACACAAGAAUUUCUGACUACACUCUCUAUACUAGGUACAUGUGAGAAGAUUGAUGUAAACAUGAAAACUAGUACUCACGUAUAUGUAUAACAAGAAAGCAUUUUCUGGUAUUAAUAAGCAUGUUUAGAUAUGAUCUCAUGAAUGGAAUGCUACUACGUAGAUGCGAGAACCAAUGACACCAUAUGCUCAUACCAAAUUCAAACUCCACAAAUUGAAACACAUAACACUCAAUAUGAAGUUAAGGGUUGUAAUAGGGCUUGGGGGUAAUAGCUAACAAAGAAAGGAUAGGGAUAACAAACGUUCUUCAAGCGAUAGCAAGCAAAGUAAUGAAAUCGACACUUGGAAUUCACCUUAGAAUGCAAAAAUCAACUUUUAAACACAAAGGGAAGAUUCAAGCAACACUUAGGGCCGAAUUCCAUGUUUUGGACCCUUUCUUCAACAAACAACACUUUAGAGCUCUUUAUCACAACUUUUCUUCUUUUCAUUCUAUUUUCCACGAAUGUUUUUUUUUUUUUCUACCCGUGCCUUAUUAAGGACUUUGGCACACACACACACAAAAGAAUCACUUCCCCCACACUUGUUUUUUUGCAAGAGUUCAACAAAAGGAAUUCCUUCUAAAUUAUGCUUUACUAUGCUUCAAGAACAAGGGUAUGGAUGGUCCUAAUCUAGGCUAGGUGAGGAUAGUGUGGGUAACAAAGAACAUAGGCAACACAAGGCUCAACGGGGUUAAACUUAAACACAUAAUGAAUGGGAUAGGCUUUUUGGCUCUUGGCUCACUAUACAACUUCAUCUUGAAUAUGUGUUAUGCAAAUCAAUAACAUACUUUGAAUGAAAUAGGCAUGAGUUCUAGCAUUUGAAACUAACUGAUGAAACGCCUUCUAAGUAGCAACCAAGCAAAGAAUAAUGAGAUCAUGCAACGACUUUAGAAAACAAUAGUGCACAGAUCAUUAACUCUCCAAAUAAACGUUUAGGCUCAAGUCUCACAAGGUUGUAGCGUUCAUUUGAGUUCUUUCUUUCAAGCAUGUUACAAAAACUGAUUUUUUUUAUUUUUU